ensembl:lncRNA
CUUCUCCUCCUCCUUCUUUUCCUCUUCCUCUUCUUUCCUCUCCUCCUUCUCUUCCACCUUUUCUUCAUAAGAUGAUCUCACAUGCCGUGCUUUCCCACAUGUAAUUUUUCUAUUAUAUUUUACUACUGUUUUCUGGGAAAAUUUAUUUGUUUAUUCAUUUGCCAUUUGACUGGUUCCUUACUUCAAUAAUUAGCUAAUUUUGGUUCUUUUUGAGUUGUCUAGACAGAUAAUAUUACCCAUAGACAAUGAAUUUUCUGUUCCUCCUACUGCCUAAAAAAAUGUAACUUCUUGAUUUUUUUCCCUGUCUUACUUCAAGGCAAGAAACACCAUGCUAUUUAAAGUAUUCCUUAUUGGAAGUGCCUCUAACAUUUUGCUAGUGAGAACGCAAUCCCAAACACAUUGUGCUUUUGGUCAGUUCUGGUGUUGGAUAUCCCGCCCCCAUUUAACUUUAAAUCUCCCUUCCUGAGCCUUCUGCUUGUCAGCCCUCACACUGGAAGCCUCCUGGGACAUUUUUCCAAAUAUUGAAUAAGUGUGACCCCUUUUCUACUUGAGUGUUCCCUGGAUAUACAGACAUCUCCUGCAAGUAUCAUCCCUUCCUCUUCUCAUGCAUGAAUACCCAUUGUCCCCUGGCAGUAGCGGUCUCCUUUAAUUCUCAGACAGCAAAGUUCUGAGCUGCUCUUGUUUUCUUUCAUGUGACAACACCAGGCUAUUUUCUGCCAACUGAAAAGUUAGUGUCUUUGCAUGAGAUUUUUUAUAUUUUCACAUUUUAAGGAAAUGCUAAACUAUUUUUCUCACAUAGAAAUUAUCAUUUCAUUUGAAUUUGCUGACUUUUUGCCAGUGGGAAGUAAAAAUAACCCAGUUUUGCAUAUGCCAAGCAAAAAGAAUUGGUUACAUGGGUUUAGGUUGGUUAAAACAAUAACCGAGAAGAGGCUGAGGGAGGGAAAAGCCUCCUACACCAUCAGCGUCUGACAAAGCUGGGGUACCUAUCUCAGGGCAGGCUGGUGGAUGCCUCCUGAGUGGGUGGGGGCCUAAUGAUGGGGGUUCCUUGAGCAUGUCACGGUGUCACUCUCUGCCUGCAUAUCUUCACCUACAAAUUGUGAGAUAAUGCAGGAACUCCAAUUAAGCGUUUAGUUUGACACAUGUCACCCAGCACACACUUACUACAGUGACUGUUAGGACUAUUGAAUUUGAAGGCAGAAACGUGGAUGGUAUUUUAGUCAACAAAUAGAAAGUGAAGCUCCUUCUCCACCAUGACUCCUCCCUUCAUAGAGCCAAUUCCUCAGAUAUUCAAGAGUUUUACGAUUUAGGCAAUAGAAAGAGAAGUAGUGGCAGUUCAGGUUAAACUUCUACCCAACGUAGAAGGAACAGGUAGUUUUAUCCUUUCUCUACUGCCUGUCAGGUUCCCUUGGACCUAACUUGUUGUUUCACACUACCAGGACAAGCCGUUUUUUGCUCAUGAAGACCCAGCUUUUCUCCAAGGAAGACAUUUUGAUACUGGCGGUCUAUUAAAUCACUGUGCUCAUGUGCUCAGAGUUUAAGAAACUUGUCAGCAUGUCUUAAUUUCUCCAAUUUGUUUGCCCAGGGAAACACCCCUAUUAGUAUGAAACUUAGACCCUGAGAAAGGAUAUGAACUUUUUUCUGUCUUUCCCUACACAAAGACUGAAAUCUACUUUAAAAAAAUAUGGUGGGAGGUAACUGUAUUAUUAUUGUUUAAAAUUAAUUAUCCUUUGCUCCAUAUUUUACCUUGUUUAUUUUAUCUGUCCAGCUUUCCCGGAGGGGCAGACUCGAGGCCCCCAUUUGGUUUUUAUUAGUGUAAUCAGUUAAUAGCUGUUCUAUAACGCUUUACUUAUUGUGUUAAUUUUCUCUAGUUAUGUCCAGAGGCAGUUUCCUGGAAGACCACAUUAAAAAAAACAAAACAAAACAAAACAACCCCAAAAUCCCCCUAGCUUCUUCUUUAAUGGCUUUGGUUACCACUUACAGCCUCAGCUUGGUCCACCAAGGUACUGAAAAUACAUCUAAACUGUGGCUAGUAUUUUAAAUGUAUAUCUGUGUAUAAAUGUAUGAAUGUGUAGCCUAUGUCAACCCUAAUGUCUGCAGAGACAUCAGUACAAUCUAUCAGCUCCUUGAACUCACUCAGUUACAUGCAAAUCCUUUUCACAGCUGGGGCCUGGGACAAGAGUGUCCACUGCCACUUAGAGGUUUUCAUGGGAAUGUACCCCAUGUGAGUUUUGAUGUUUACAGGACUAGUCCUUGAAUAUAAAUGAGCUUCAUAGCAGGCUACAUUGACAAACUUCCCUGUGUGCAAUAGAUUAUACCCUCCCAUGGCUUACAUCCUGAAUUAGAUAGAAAUCAUCUUCAGAGUUAACACCACGCAUUAGGAGCAGGCUGGACCAGCUCUCUGGAUGGCAAGGAUCUCAGCUGAGUACCUUCACUGCCUCUGGUUCUGUUUGCUCUUUGUAGUGGCCCUUGGGAAAGAAUCCUUUGCAGAUGAUGGGUCUACAUCACACGCUUAUGGUUUGCUGUUCAGUCUCUGGCAAUGAUCAGGGGUCCACACAAAACAAGUUUUCAUUAAGGCUUUAAAGAAGUCUUUAUGUGACGUGCUGGCUAUGAAAACUGACCCAUGUUUUAUUCCUAUUUUGGAACAUUUGUACGCACAUAAUGAUCUGUGUUCCGGAUGGGACUCGAGUCUAAAGGGAGUUUGGUUUGUUUUUUGUACACCUUGGACCACAUAUUUACCACAGCUGCCUUUCCUUUGUGACUUGCCACAUGAAAUUAAGUGUAGGACUUUUCACCUGUGGCAUCACAUCAGCGCUCAAAACGUUUUGGGGUGUGGAGCAAUCCAGACUUUGGAUUUUGAAUUAUACAGGUCCAGCCUGAAGUAAAUCUGGGCUGAAGUUAAAUACAAAGUAAGAUUCUAGGUUAAGAACUGUGCUGACUAGUUACUUGUUAGUUUGACACAAGCUGUACUCAUCGUGGAAGACAGAGCUUCACUUGGGGGAAACGUCUCCAUCUUAUUCACUUGUCAGCAAGUCUGUAGGGCAUUCUCUUGAUCAAUGAUUGAUGUAGGAGGGCCCAGUCCACUGUGGGUGGUGUCACCUCUAGGCAAGUGGUCCUAGGCUGUACAAAACGCAACCUCAGGGGCUGGAGAGGUAGCUCGGCAGUUUAGUGAAUUUGUUGCUUUUGCAGAGGACCCAGGUUUAACUUCUAUCACUCACAUGGUGGCUCACAGCUUCAGGGCAUCUAGCGCCCUCUACUGAUCUCUUCAGACACCAGGCACAUGCGUGGUGCAUAUACAUACAUGUAGGUAAAGCAGCUAGCCAGUAAGCAGCAUUCCUCCAUAGCCUCUGCUUCAGUUCCUGCCUCCAGGCUCCUGCUCAGAAUUGUCUCAGUGUGUGACUUGGGCACGUAAACCAAAUAAACCUUUUCCUCCCUAAGUUGUUCUGGUCAUGGUGUUUUAUCACAGCAAUAGAAACCUGACCAGAACUGUUGCAAGUAAUGCCUGUGAGAGAAGAGGAACAGAACAUGGGACUAUAAAUGACAGGGAAGAGCUGUAUGCCUGGGCAAGUCACUUCUUUCUCAAUCUUUUUCCUUCCUUUUUCCACAUGAGGACCCUGGGGAAGAACUCCCAAAGAGACUUACUUUUACGGAAGCCUGUGAUCCUUUAAGAAUGACCAACAGUGCAAAUCAAGUCAAAAGACUUAGAUGCUCUCUCCACUACUCCAUCUCCAGCACCUAGAACAGGUAGAGUAUGUAACUGAUGACUGACUGAAUGGCCCUGGGGAGAGAUUCACAAGAUCACUAUGGGGGGGGAGGUGGGCAGAAGGGAAUGUAAGGAUAGGGAGGUGUGUGCCAAGGUGUUGCUGGCAAUGUUGUGUGCAAAAGAAGAUAAGAUCUCUUGUUGACUGUUGUAAAAAGAAGAUGAACGAAGUGUUGUGUUCAAAUGAGUCCAGUUGAGUGUACCACAGACAAUGAUUGACUUCUUCCCAGUCCCUCACGGGGUAGUAUAGUUUGAGAGGUUUACAUUAAGCUUAUCCCCUCAGAGGCCCUCAGAGGAGGCAAUGAAUAGAUUUGCAAGGAAAAACAACAACAACAACAACAACAACAACAACAACAACAAUAAUAACAACAGGGACCCCACAUGCAAUUCAGGGGAAGUACUUUGAAGCAUUUCAAGGAAGACUCUGAGAAAUGAUAAUAAAGUUUAACGGGAAGGAAUAUUAACUGAUAUGAUUUUCUUCCAAGAAGCAAUUUUGGAUAUAAUAUUUCAAGCUCUAAGUUACAAACUCAGUGACUAGACCUUGAAUGCUUUUAUUUGUGUCUUGGGGUUUCUGUUCCUUCAAUUGAAAAAGAAAAUUAUUAAGAUGAUUUUUUUUCCAGAAAGAUUAAUGGGUAUAGCAUUGGCUGACCAGUUUCCAUAAAACUAUAGUAGCAUAGAAUCACCUAGAUUAAGAACUAGGUUUAAAUCCUGGGACGGCUUAGUAAUACCAGUGCUCAAUUAAAAAUUCCGUAGCAUUGAUUUGAUGAAGAAAAACGUCAUGGUAUGACUGCAACUUUCCCUUCCAGUUGUUAUUGGACACGUUAAUGGAGGGAUGUCCUACAUAGGCUUUGGCAGUCAGAAGGCCAGUUCUCAAAUUAAAAUGAAGUUUCAAAUCCGAGCAUAGGGACAAAAUAAUUUACUUGAAGGGUAACAAAGGAGGUUCUUGCCUAAAAAUAAAUGUGAUAGAUUUGGCUUCAAUGUUAGGUGGCACUUCUUUAUAAUUUUUGUAAACCUGAAAUCUUUCAUAAUUCACACAGAUAGAAAUGCUAGCCACUUGAAGGUGAAAAAUGGUACUGUAUUUUAUUUUACAUUCUCAAUGUCUAGCACCUGUUUCUUGGUAUGUAAACAAUCUAUUUAACUGUUUUUGAAAGAGCAGACUAAAAAUAUUUUGUCAAUGUGUGUGUGUGUGUGUGUGUGUGUGUGUGUGUGUGUGUGUGUGUGGUGUAUGCAUGUGUGGUAUAUGUGUACAUAUGUGGGCAGAUGCAGAGGCCACAGGAGGACAUUGGGUGUCAUGUUCUAUCUUUUGAGACAGGACUUCUCAUUGAAUGUGGGGCUAGGCUGACAGUCAUCAAGCCCCAUUCAUUCUCUCUCUCUCUCUCUCUCUCUCUCUCUCUCUCUCUCUCUCUCUCUCUCUCUCUCUCUCUCUCUCUCGUGCUGAUACACACUGAACUCCUAAUCCAAAUCCAAGUUGUUAAUUUUUGACAGAGUCGCAGAAUGUGAUGUCUUGCUGUGCACACCCUUCCGAUAACGAGGUAAGUCUGCCACUUGUACACCAACAAGCAAGCAGUCAAAGCCAGGCUGCAUUUGGGGAGUGUGGCUCUAAUCCUGAAAACCAGAGAAACGUUAAUGGUACAUUAUAAAUUUCUAGUUCUCUUUGAAAUAUUCAAAGGCGUGGUUCCAUGGUUCACAGACUCCUGUGAUGACAAUUCCUGGGACACAGGAAUAGCUGAUCUUAUUACACAACACUUCUUCACCGGAUGAUACCUUUAAUAAGUGUGAAUGGGGGACCAGGAGUAACGGUGUGUGCCUGUAAUCCAAACACUAGGGCGACUGAGGCAGGAGGAUUAGGAGAUUAAGGCCAGUCUAGGUUACAUAGUUUGUAACUAGUUUGGGCUAUAAAGUAAGACUCUGUCUUUAAAAAUAGGACUGGCUGCAUUGCCGCUGUUAGGGUCAUUCCCAGAUCCUAGAAUCCCUAACAAAGUACGAUCAACAACCUCGCCUCAAUUGGCCAACUCAAGAGACAAUUUAGUAGAGAAAUGUAAUAGAAGGAGAUUUGAUUGAUGUCUCAUGAGGAGAAGAACAAAGAGGUGACACUUCCUCGUCCAUCUCUGAGGUUCUGCCAUGAGAUUUAGGUUUUUUUUUUUAAGAUUUAUUAUAUUUCCAAUGUUCUGACUGCAUGUAUGCCUGCACACCAGACCUCAUUACAGAUGGUUGUGAGCCACCAUGUGGUUGCUGGGAACUGAACUCAGGACCUCUGGAAGAGCAGUCAGUGCUCUUAACCGCUGAGCCAUCUCUCCAGCCCCAAGAUUUAGGUCUAAAUGGAAGGCAGAAGCUGUGUCUGACUAAUCAGUCCUGGUCAGGAUGCGGCCCUGCCCAUGAUCACCAUUUUUGCUUCAGUUCCUUCUAAUAAGGUGGUCUGCAAAGGUGAAAUCUCUUCUGGGGAGACACGCUGCUUGUCUGGUUGACACCAGGCUAUAAAUCUUUUUCUUCUCCCUAAAUAAGAUUCCUGGAGAAAUUUCAGUUUGCCUCAAGAGCUUGAUAGCCAAGGAGUAACAAGUGUUCUUAGAUUGUCUUCAUUGUACCCCCUCCUUGAGGUCACAAGCUGCAUUCAUGCAUGGGGGCAUUCCCUUGUUCAUGACCUCAGCCUGACUUCAGUGUCUUGCUUCCUAGCCUGGCCUAAUGGACGAUGCCCAGCUCUGCUGUAGUUUGAAUCUGGAGUAUCCUCCUAAGGCCCAUGUUGUAGAGGGCUUGUCCUUCAGCUGAUGUGGUUUUUGAGAAGUGGUGGUGCUCUUAAGAGGUUGGAUCUACUGGAAGGAAGUUAGGCCAUUUGGAGGCUUGCCUUGGAGGGGGAUAUUCAGACCCUUCAUCUUCCUUUUAGGUGCUGUCAUGAUUUGAAUAUGCUUGUCCGAAGAAGUGGCACUAUUUGGAGGUGUGACCUUAUUGGAGUGGGUGUGUCACCGUGACCAUGGGCUUAAGACCCAUGUCCUAACUUCCUAGAAGUCAGUCUUCCACCAGCAGCCUUCAGAUGAAGAUGUAGAACUCUCAGCAAUGCCUGCCCCAUGCCUGCCUGGAUGCUGCCAUGUUCCUCCCUUGAUGAUAACGAACUGAACCUCUAAACCUGUAAACCAGCCCCAAUUAAAUGUUGUCCUUAUAAGACUUGCCUUGGUCAUGGUGUCUGUUCACAGUGGUAAAACCCUAACAAGACAGGUGCCAUAUGUGGUUUUUCCUCUGCCACAUCUUCCAACGAUGAUGUUAUCUGUCAUUAAAAGCCCAGAGCAAUGAGAUCACCUCAUGGUGGACAGAUAACCACUGUAACUGUAAGCUAAACUAAAAGUUUCUUUCUUAACAGCUAAUUUUCUCAAUAUUUUAAAGAAUUAAGUAAUUAAAUUUUUUUAGAGUAGUGAACAUUGAGUAAUUAUUUUUUUUUUUCUUUUUUACAAUAGUGAAGAGCUGAGCGGCAGGGCCCAUCAGGAUUGGAAGACAGCGUUGGGUGCAUUGCAUCGACUUCAACAAGCUAAAAAUCUAACCAUGAGCUUAAUUGUUUCUUCCAGCCCAGCAUAAAAAGAAAGCAUGACCCUAGACGUGGAGUGAAUGGAGUGUGCAGGUUCCGACGAGUUCACUGCGGCUCCAGUGGGGAUCGGGCAGGCUCCAAGCACUAAAUAACCCUAAUGAUAUCAGGACUGGUCCUGCUUGCUCCAUCUACACACUGUUGGUUAACAGUGGACCCUCUGACUCUCAUGAGGAUGACUGGACAUGUGACAGAAGACCAGGAGUCCGGGAGGCUGCCCUUUCCUGCUUUAACUUUGUUCUGUCAGAAUUGAUAAGAUUUCGAUUUCCAGUUAAAACCCGCCAUCGGGUGUUCAGCAGGACAGUGAAAGAACGCCCGGCACACUGAACCAACAGUCAGAGGUUGAACCUACCAGCAAAGCUGGCUCUGAUGGACAAACGCUUCCUAGGGCUCCUUCCUGAUGCAGCUGCUAUCUGCAGACCUCCUGGACUGCCCUGGGAAGGGAGUGGGAGCUCCUGCCACAGAUGGGCGGAACAUCGGCAAGAAGGGUUAAAAGUGGCCAAAAAUAACAGUGCCUUCCAGAUGAGGUGACCUCAGAGCCAAGAGCAUCAUGGGGUAGAGUAUCUUGUUCUUAGUUUUAUGACCUAAAAAGUACACAGAAGAUGCAAAGAUACUACAGAGAGAAGGAACAAAGUCUGCAGGGAACAGGGAAAGGCGAUUAGCUAUCAUAUUUUUUUUUAAUUGAAUUUUGUUGCGCAUGAACGCAAAAGAAAACACGGCCUUUUAAUACAUGUUUGAAGAGAGACCUAGCUAUAUAGAUAGAUAGAUGAUAGAUAAGUAGAUAGGUGAUAGAUGAUCGAUAGAUAGGAAAGUAGAUAGAUAGAAUAGAUGAUAGAUAGACAAAACUAUGCACACUAGAAGAGCAAAAGGAGAAAAAGGUAGAGACAAGACUGCCUUCCUUCGUUUGCUAUUGAAACAAACUUAAUAAAUCCUCAUUGAGAAUCAAGUAUGUGUGGUUCUAUUACCUUUCGGUACAACAUACCACCCUAAAACUUACUAAUAUAAAAACACGACCUUCACUGUAUCACAACCAGUCGUGGUUCUGAGGGUCACCUGGGAGGAGCUGGGUGGUCUCAGAGGCUUUCCUGACAUUGAGGCUGGCAGGUAGCUAAGGCUGACUUUUCUAUGGCUCCCUUUUGCACUUCUGGUGCUUGAUGCUGGUCAGCGAUUGUCGCUCCCUCAGAUGGGGGAAUGCCCGAACAGGGUCAUUCCCUGCAGUCUGAGUUGCCUUGCCAUCUCGUUGUUAUCCUUCUUGCAGCUGCUCAGUGGUUAAAAAGUGAAUGUCCCAGGACAAGGUAGAAACGUAAUCAUGGUGUAGCUGAGUUGGCUUCACCACUCACGAGGCCAGCUCAGGUUCAAGAGGUGGACACAGAGAUCUCAGAGAUGCAUCUCUGGAGUUUCAAAAUGUUGCGGCACCUGUAAACAUCUUAAACCUUCCAAGACAUUUAACCAAACCAGGAUGUCAGCUGACCUGAUGCCAAUUUUCUAAGAUCAUGUGUCUAGCUGAAGCUAUAAAAAAAUCAGUAAAGGACCGGGAAUGUAGUCCAGUAGUACAGCACUUGCCCUACGUACAAGGAGCACUACCUCUGCAAAGAAAGUAACCAAGGGUAUGUUCUGUGGGAAGGAAUAAAAUAUCUACAGGCCAGGGCUAUGCGGCAGUGGAUGAGUGUAUUUAAGGAAUACGCUCGAAGAACUGUGUGCUGUGGUGCACACCUAUAAUCACAGCAUGGUGUGUGUGUGUGUGUGUGUGUGUGUGUGUGUGUGUGGCCAGACGGGGCCUUAUAGAGGAAAACUCUGAGUUGAAACAAACAAACAAACAAAGAAACAAAUGCAACAAACAAAACCUCCCAACCUUUGCAUAUGUAGAGAUCAUAGGCCCAAAGCCAUUAGGAAAGGCCUAUGGCUACUUCCUACCGUUGGAGAGACUUGAAAAGGCC